GUGCUUACUUCAGCAGCACACAUACUAAAAUUGGAACGAUACAGAGAAGAUUAGCAUGGCCUCUGCACAAGGGUGACAUGCAAAUUUGUGAAGCAUUCCAUAUGAAA
ensembl:snRNA U6 U6 spliceosomal RNA